rnacentral:rRNA from 1 species
AUGACGACCCGGACGCAACCACCACUGCCGACGCGGCCGGCUCAGGCUCACCGGCGCCAACGCGCGGCCUCCCACUCGUCUUCGUCGUCCUCGUCGUCGUCUUUCUCCACGGCCUCCUCCGCCGCCUCCUCGCCGUCGCCUUCCCCGCGCACCACCUCCAUCCCCUUCUCCUGGGAGCACCACCCGGGCAUCCCCAAGAGCCACUCCUUCCUCCGCGGCGCCGCGGACCCUGCUGCCUCCCCGUCCCCGCCGCUCCCGCUCCCGCCGCCGAUCCGCGCGCCGCCCUCCCGACGCCGCGCCAACCGAUCGGCGCCAGGCGCGCCCGGCGCCGCCGCCGACCCCUUUGCCGCCGCGCUGGAAGAGUGCACCAGGGAGCGCACCAACGCCAUCGACAUCGACGCUCUGUUUCCUCCUAAGCCGGCGUCGGCCGUCCGCGCCGGGCCGCGGCGUUGGUCCAUCGCCACUGGCGGGGUGGUAGGAUUACUGGACCUGUACGGCUGCAAGAACGCCAUGGGCGUCGCCGAGGGCGCCUUCGUCGUACGCCGACCGGUGGUGGCCGUCGGGCGGGCGGGUCAGGGCCGUGCUGGCCGGCCCGGCAAGAGAUAA